rnacentral:rRNA from 1 species
GUACACUCCUACGGGAGGCAGCAGUGGGGAAUAUUGGACAAUGGGCGCAAGCCUGAUCCAGCCAUGCCGCGUGAGUGAUGAAGGCCCUAGGGUUGUAAAGCUCUUUCACCGGUGAAGAUAAUGACGGUAACCGGAGAAGAAGCCCCGGCUAACUUCGUGCCAGCAGCCGCGGUAAUACGAAGGGGGCUAGCGUUGUUCGGAUUUACUGGGCGUAAAGCGCACGUAGGCGGACUAUUAAGUCAGGGGUGAAAUCCCGGGGCUCAACCCCGGAACUGCCUUUGAUACUGGUAGUCUUGAGUUCGAGGGAGGUGAGUGGAAUUCCGAGUGUAGAGGUGAAAUUCGUAGAUAUUCGGAGGAACACCAGUGGCGAAGGCGGCUCACUGGCUCGAUACUGACGCUGAGGUGCGAAAGCGUGGGGAGCAAACAGGAUUAGAUACCCCAGUAGUCCCAUG